CCUAGUUGUGGAAGAUAAAAAAUAAUUGCAACAAAAGGUCCUAACAAUCCAAUAGGAUUAUAGAAAAUUUACAAUUAAAUUUUAACAAUCAUAAUCAAACAUUAAGCAAGCUCAAUUAAAUUUUAUUGAAGUUAUAAAAGAAAUACAAGGAAAUUCUAAAGAAAUAUAAAAGAAUAUUAAAGAAAACUUAGUCAAAACCUAACAAAAAUCUAAUAGAAUCUUGAAUUCUAACCAAACCCUAAUCCUAAUCUAACCUUAAUCAAACCUUAAACAAAUCCUAAAUCCUAAACUAAAUCCUAAUAAAAUCUUAAUCAAAUCCUAAACCUUAAAUCAAUCCCUAACCAAAUCCUAAAUUAAAUUCUAAAUCCUAAUUCAAACCCUAAAUCCUAAAUCAAAUCCUAAACCAAAUCCUAAAUCCUAAACCCUAAACCAAAUCCUAAAUCAUACCCUAAUUCUAACAAAUCCUAAACCCUAAACCAAAUCCUAACCAAACUCUAACCUUAAAUU
rnacentral:lncRNA from 1 species